rnacentral:pre_miRNA from 1 species
AGUGGGAUAGCUGGGUCAAAUGGUGAUUCCGUUUCAAGUGUUUGGAGGAUUCUCCAUACUGCUUUCCAUGGUGGUUGCACUAAUUUGCAGUCCCACCAGCAAU